AUGGGAGGAAGCAAGAGGGGUCUGGGGAGUGUGAUCGUGUGUUUACUCGUGCUGGGGCUGGUCCUCAAGCAGGUGCAACAUGUAGAGGGCGUGGAUUGCGGCGGGAGCAUCUUCAAAGUGGCCUGCUACCAUUCUUGCCUUCUCGGUCCUAGUACAGUGUUUCAGUGCGCAGACUUCUGUGGCUGUCACCUCCCCGCUGACUUGGCCUUUGUACGCAGCUCCGAUGAACUAAACACCAUUGAGUAUUGCAGCUUAGAAUGUAGGUCUUCCAUGUGUGACAACAUGGUCAUGGUCAACAUAGGGCCUAGCUUGGACAAGAAAGAUGAACAUUGGAGCAAGAUCAAGCAUGGAGUUGAUGGCAUGCGCAAGGGAAACAAGAACGGAGUUUCAAGUGACGAUUUCACAACUUUGAAGCCAUCAUAA
rnacentral:rRNA from 1 species